AUAGAACUUCUCUCAAGUUUAAAAACUGUAUGACUUAAGAUAAUAUAUUUAGAUUUAUAAACUUGUAACCAAUUCGGGAAGUUUAUGUCUUGACUAACUGAAUGAAAUUAUUUCUCCUCAUUUGUGUAAGCAUGAUCCGAAUUUGUUAUGUCUCGUCCCGCUACUUAUCACCCUGAUAGCCUUGUUUCCGUUAAUAGUGACAUUCAUUUUACUGUGCAGUCUUAUCAUUUCUGAGGAAGAGAGAUGAUCUUACGUUGCACGAGCUUUUUCAACAAGCACGAAAACAGUCAGAUCAUUGCCAUUAAGGAGAAGAACAAAAACAACCAUUGGAAUAAUGAAGAAACACAAUUUUCUGUAUCAUCGACUUGCACAGCAUGGCCGCCGCUGCUGACAUUUAUUCUUCUGCUUUCAAGACAACUCAUGAGAUGUGUCAAUAAAUAUCUGCUUAAUUAAUAACUGUUUCUCUUGUUAAUGAUGAGGAAAGAAAUACUUUUAUAUAUUGCUUCGUGGAAACUGAUCAAGGGAAGAAGGAGUUAUGUUUGUCUUGAAAGCUAUAAUUGUGUCGGUUCUUCAUAUAUGUUAUCGUUCUCAUAUUAGGAAAAUUUAUUCUUAGAUUAUUUAAUACAGAUAUUAGAUAUGAAUGUUAAAAUAUAUGUAAUCUCAAAAAUUACAAAGCGUAAAUAAACUAAUACGAUAGGCAAAUAGUACACCUUAA